CCCACUUGCAUCAUUAAGAGCUCUCCUUUCUUGUCUCGACUUGUGGGUAGGAACUGAGCUCAGGGCCCAGGGCCUCACAUGCUACGCCUGUUCUGUACAGCUGCACCACACCCUUAGCCUUUCUCUGAAGAUAAGAGUAAGGAGAUUGCCAGUGUUACCUAGUCUUGGUGGAAUAGGCUUUUUGUUAGCUAUAAAUUACAGAACCAAUUCUUUUUACAUCAGGCAUGCUUGUGUUCAUGAUCAGAUAUAUAGCUGUAAUAAAAUGUUUGGGUUGCAAUACAAAAAUGUCUCAUUUUUAAAAGAUUUUUAUUUUCUGUAUAUAAAUGCUUACUGCAUGUGUGGAUGUAUAUUAUGUGCUUACCUAGUGCCUUCAGAGACUAGAAGAAGAGGCUGAUCCCUGGAACUGCAGUCAAUUUGUGAGUGCUCUAGGAAAUGCUUUUAGCUACUGAGCUAUCUGUAGCCACCCCAAAUUUCAUUUUAAAGAUGGCAGUCUAAAAGCUUAACUUAAAAGCUUUUCUGUAUCCUAUCAAAAAAAAAAAAAAAAAA
rnacentral:lncRNA from 1 species